UUGGGUCAUUUCUGUGGCCCUCCUGUGGAUGCAUUCCAACUGGUCCACCUCUCUGCUGUACUGAGGAUUCCAUAUCUAGAUGCAGUACUCCAGGAGAGGUCUCACCAUUGCAGAGUAGAGGGGCAGGAUCACCUCCCUCACGCUGCUGACUGCACUUGUUUUGAUGCAGCCCAGUAUACUGUAUGCUUUCUGAGCUAUGAGGGCACAUUGCUGGCUCAUGUCCAGGUUUCCGUCCACCAGUAGCCUGGGUCCUUUUUGGCUAGGCUGUGCCCUGCGUUCAGGAUUUUGUUAAAGCUCAUACAGCUAGCCUCAGCCCAUUGAUCCAGCCUGUCAAGAUCCUUCUGCAGGGUUUUCCUACCCCCAGGUACAUCAAUGCUUCCUCCCAGGUGAGUAACAUCUCUGCCUUGCCUGCUGAUGUGUACUCGCUAAGGUUUCUCAUAGUUGAGGGCUGCUUCCUUCAUGUCCAGCUGCUUGGCCUUUGAGAAAUCUGGAAGCAGCUCGUAAUCUUUCUUUGCACAUAGAAGGUUAAAUAGCAGUGUUCUUAUUUUCGUGGCAACUCAUUGAUCAAGAAAAUGUCAAGACAGAGAACAAGCUGUGGCAUUUUGAUCCACCAGAGCUCUCUUCCAUUGACCUCCAGUUAGUUUCACCUCUCCAGUAUCUCUUAUUCACUGGAAAGCUCGAGGCGGAUCCAUUGCUUUGGUUGCUGGAAAGAAUGGAAUGUGAUAAAAGACGACUGCUCCUUUAAAAGCUUCAACUAUAAAAAACCUCCAAAUUGUCAGUGUUUCACGCAGUGCAUAAUCUUUCAAAAUAUGUGAUGGAGAGUCAGUUAUAAAAUACAUACUGCUGAAGGAGUGCAAGUUAUAAUGAGUUCUAAAUGGAGUUACGGAAAGUUUGGUAUCGGUAAUAUAUUUUGGAUUGAAUGGUAACUCGGUCUCAAUGUGGUAGAUGUAGAGGACAUCUCUUUCACAGGUCAGGUGAAUCUUUUGCAUUGUGUGAUCUCAAAAAGUUCUGAACGUGAAGCAGCCUAAAUUUCCCACUACUGAAACAACAAAGAAUAUGCCAGAUAGAUUUGAACACUUCUAGACUCACCUAUUGUUCUACAGAAUUCCUUUCAACUGAAAGCUUUGGAAAUAAAUCAAUAUUGAAAGUGUUGGUACAGUUUAUUUUUCAAUUGCAAUUACUCCAUAUAUACAAGCAAGAUAAUUAUUGUUGAGCUUGCCAAUAACUUCAGCUGUGAUAAAUGUUUAAUUCAUUAGUACCGAACAUGCCAAUACAGUAGUAUUUUUCUUUGAUUUAAUGUAUUAAAACUAAGCUGUUUAGUUUUUUGUGCCUUCCAUCCCAAAUGACACUGACUGUUUCUAUAAAGACAAAUAGCAUUGAAGAGCAUGCUUUAGAAGUUCCAUAAUGACAUGAAAGAUGUGAUCAGUACUGGGGUAAUUAUGUUUCUUAAAAGCUUUUCCAUUACAGUAUCAAUUAAGAAUAUUGUGGCUUUUUUUGACUAUCUCAUAACACUUACCCAGAAGGUGGUUUGUCUUUUUAAUGCUUUCUGUUGUAGAGAUGUGAAUUUAUGGUUACAUUCCUGAGUGAUUAAACUCUAAGAAUUAUCUGGGCUCUCAUGAAUGCUUGAAAAUGUACAUAAUAAUAUAAUUGUAAUAUUACUGUGUAUUUGAAUUACUAUGUAAGUAUGGAGAUGUCAUCCAUUGUACCUCUCAUCUCCCUGGCAUUUUUUAUUUUCAAAGGUUAAAUUUCUUAUUUAUGAACAUUGUAAUUUUUAUUUUAUUUUAUUUUUGCAAGUAAACAAAGGACUGCUG
ensembl:lncRNA